GGAUUAGAUACCCUGGUAGUCCGCACGGUAAACGAUGGAUGCCCGCUGUUUGUCCUCAAGGAUAAGCGGCCAAGCGAAAGCAUUAAGCAUCCCACCUGGGGAGUACGCCGGCAACGGUGAAACUCAAAGGAAUUGACGGGGGCCCGCACAAGCGGAGGAACAUGUGGUUUAAUUCGAUGAUACGCGAGGAACCUUACCCGGGCUUGAAUUGCAGGAGAACGAUCCAGAGAUGGUGAGGUCCUUCGGGACUCCUGUGAAGGUGCUGCAUGGUUGUCGUCAGCUCGUGCCG
rnacentral:rRNA from 1 species